rnacentral:rRNA from 1 species
AGUAAAUAGAUACCCCGGUAGUCCACGCCCUAAACGAUGUCAACUAGUUGUUGGGGGAGUAAAUCCCUUGGUAACGCAGCUAAACGCGUGAAAGUUGACCGCCUGGGGAGUACGGUCGCAAGAUUAAAACUCAAAGGAAUUGACGGGGCCCGCACAAGCGGUGGAUUAUGUGGAUUAAUUCGAUGCAACGCGAAAAACCUUACCUGGCCUUGACAUGCCACUAACGAAGCAGAGAUGCAUUAGGUGCCCGAAAGGGAAAGUGGACACAGGUGCUGCAUGGCUGUCGUCAGCUCGUGUCGUGAGAUGUUGGGUUAAGUCCCGCAACGAGCGCAACCCUUGCCAAUAAUUGCCAUCAUUCAGUUGGGCACUUUAUUGGGACUGCCGGUGACAAACCGGAGGAAGGUGGGGAUGACGUCAAGUCCUCAUGGCCCUUAUGGCCAGGGCUUCACACGUAAUACAAUGGUCGGUACAGAGGGUUGCCAACCCGCGAGGGGGAGCCAAUCCCAGAAAGCCGAUCGUAGUCCGGAUUGUAGUCUGCAACUCGACUAC